AUUGAACGCUGGCGGCAUGCUUUACACAUGCAAGUCGGACGAGUGGCGAACGGGUGAGUAACGCAUCGGAACGUACCGAGUAAUGGGGGAUAACUGUCCGAAAGGACUGCUAAUACCGCAUACUGAAGGAGGGGAUUGCGUCUGAUUAGCUGGUUGGCGGGGUAAAGGCCCACCAAGGCGACGAUCAGUAGCGGGUCUGAGAGGAUGAGCCGCCACACUGGGACUGAGACACGGCCCAGACUCCUACGGGAGGCAGCAGUGGGGAAUUUUGGACAAUGGGCGCAAGCCUGAUCCAGCCAUGCCGCGUGUCUGAAGAAGGCCUUCGGGUUGUAAAGGACUUUUGUCAGGGAAGCGGUACCUGAAGAAUAAGCACCGGCUAACUACGUGCCAGCAGCCGCGGUAAUUC
rnacentral:rRNA from 1 species